UACGUAGGGGGCUAGCGUUGUCCGGAUUUAUUGGGCGUAAAGAGCGUGUAGGCGGCCAUGUAGGUCCGGUGUGAAAGCCCCGGGCUUAACCUGGGAAUGGCAGUGGAAACUGGGGGACUUGAAUUGAGCAGAGGGGGGUGGAAUGCCGCGUGUAGCGGUGAAAUGCGCAGAUAUCAGGAGGAACACCGAUGGCGAAGGCAGCUCGCUGGGACGGUACUGACGCUGAGGCGCGAAAGCGUGGGGAGCAAACAGG
rnacentral:rRNA from 1 species